UGGGGAAUAUUGGGCAAUGGGCGCAAGCCUGACCCAGCAACGCCGCGUGAAGGAAGAAGGCUUUCGGGUUGUAAACUUCUUUUCUCAGGGACGAAGCAAGUGACGGUACCUGAGGAAUAAGCCACGGCUAACUACGUGCCAGCAGCCGCGGUAAUACGUAGGUGGCAAGCGUUUAUCCGGAUUUACUGGGUGUAAAGGGCGUGUAGGCGGGAUCGCAAGUCAGAUGUGAAAACUGGAGGCUCAACCUCCAGCCUGCAUUUGAAACUGUGGUUCUUGAGUACUGGAGAGGCAGACGGAAUUUCCUAGUGUAGCGGUGAAAUGCGUAGAUAUUAGGAGGAACACCAGUGGCGAAGGCGGUCUGCUGGACAGCAACUGACGCUGAGGCGCGAAAGCGUGGGGAGCAAACAGGAUUAGAUACC
rnacentral:rRNA from 1 species